UAAAACUGUCCCAUGCACAAUGCCACGGUC
rnacentral:piRNA from 1 species